rnacentral:lncRNA from 1 species
GCUCCUGAAUUUACUGCUACUUAAACUGAGGCUGGUCUGUAGGCACUCAGGUGCCCUCUGUGCAUGUUCAGAAGUUCCCUCCUGUAGACUAGAAUGCUCAGCCCACCACUGAACACUGACCUGCAGCUCCUACUGCUCAGGACACUGAAUGGGGAGGAAUAACCACUGAUUAGUUUUAAGCUGUUCUUCCACAGACUCUUUAACAGAAACUGGAAAUAAAAUUGAUAGAGGAAUUCCUUUUGUUCAUUCCUCAGCAGUAAUGAACCCAACUAGAAUCCAUGAGGAUGAAUUCUUGGCCUUGCUCAGUGGGUUAAGGAUCUGGCAUUGCUGUGAGCUGUGGUGUAGGUUAUAGAUGUGGCUUGGAUCCCGCAUUGCUAUGGCUGUGGCCUAGGUCGGCAGCUAUGUAGCUCCAAUUCGAUCUCUAGUCUGGGAACUUGCAUAUGCCGCAGGUGUAGCCCUUAAAAAAAAAAAGUUGAUGGAAAAUAAAGCUUCUUAAAAAUAGAAGGAAAACAGUAGUAAAGCAUGAAUUAAUGAAAUAGAAAACAAACAUUAAAAAAAGAAACAAAGCCGAAAGUUCAUUUUGGGGAAAGAACAAAAUUGAUAAUCCCCUAGCAAAACUAAUCAAGGAAGAGAGAGAAGUACCAUUUGUCAAUGUAAGGAACGCAAGAGUGGUCAUCAGCACAGAUCUAUAGCCAUUACAGGUAUAAUAUAAAGAUAUAAGUAGUAAUUUUACAAGUUUGAAAAAUCUGGAGUUCCCUCUGUGGCACAACAGGGUCAACAAUAUCUCUGCAGUGCCAGGAUGCAGGUUCAAUCUGGCACAGUGGGUUAAAGGAUCCAGCACUGCCAUAGCUGUGGCAUAGAUUGCAACUGUGGUUCAGACGUGAUCCCUGGCCUGGGAACUCCAAGAUGGGGGGGAAAAAAAAAACACAAAUUGAAAAUUUAUUCAAAAUUAACACAAUAAGGAAUAUGACAUCUGAAUAGCUCUGAGUCUAUUAAGGAAAUUAUCUAUAAAUUUAAAUUUUUCUUAUAAAGCAUAUUCCAAGUCAGAUAUGUCAGUGGAGACAUAUCUUCCAGACAUUAAAGGAAGAAAUAGUUUUAAUCUUUUUUUUUUUUUUUUUUUUAGGGCCAUACCUGUGGCAUAUAGAGGUUCCUGGGCUAGGGGUCAAUCAGAGCUGUAGUUGCUGGCCUACACCACAGCCACAGCAACGCCAGAUCUGAGCCAUGUCUGCAACCUACACUACAGCUCACGGCAACGACGGAUCAUUAACCCACUGAUUGAGGCCAGGGAUUGAACCUGCAACCUCAUGGUUCCUAGUCAGAUUCGUUUCUGAUGCGCCACAACAGGAACUCCAAAAUAGUUUUAUUCUUACCCAACCUCUUCAAGGUAGUAGGAAAAGAUGAUACACUAUCCAGCUAAAUUGAUCGAAGCUGUGGAUUAUGUUCCUUACAGAGGAAGAUUUCCUUCCUGGAACAAAACCAGAAGCAGCCUGGCUUUCCCAAGGAUUUUGGUGUGCCCAUCUCUCCACAUCUCCUUAGGAUGCCCUUCAGGCCUUUGAUCACUCCAGGUGUGAGGGAGCUGCAGCUGAGCCUCCAGGACACAUUAAAAAGAAUCUCUUUCCAAGAGUUGGGAUCCAGUUCUCUGGCAGGCAGACUGAAUCUAUCUACAAUAUCAUACAAUGCGUAUUUACCACUUACACUAUCUUUCUUCAGACAAGGUGUUUGUUGUUUGUUUUUUGUCUUUUUAGGGCCGUACCUUCGGCACAUGGAGGUUCCCAGGCUAGGGGUUGAAUCAGAGCUAUUGCCACUGCCUACACCACAACCACAGCAACUCCAGAUAUAAGCCUCGUCUGCAACCUACACCACAGCUCACAGCAAUGCCAGAUCCUUAACCCACGGAACAAGGCCACGGGUUGAACCUGCGUUCUCAUGAAUGCUAGUUAGAUUCCUUUCCACUGAGCCACAACAGGAACACCUGUUAUUUGUUUAUAAAAGUGGUUCUGUAGUAAAUGUUUUCAUUAAAUUUUAUUUAUAGUCUGCUUACCCACUGAUGUAGCUAAUUACAUGGGGCCAGUGGAAUUCCCAGACUGUCAGCUGAUCAAGGGGGCCCUGUAGAAAACCCUAGAUAAAUGAGAAUAUUCCUCUCCUGUAAGCCAUGCUUUAGGAAAAAGUGUUCAUCUAAAACAGGGAUCUUGGAGUUCCCAUUGUGAGGGAUUGCUCCCAUUGGUAGCAAACCCAACUAGUAUCCACAAGGAUGUGGGUUCAAUCCCUGGCCUUGUCAGUGGGUUAAGGAUCCUGCAUUGCUGUGGCUAUAGCAUAGGUCAGCAGCUGUGGUUCGUAUUCAUCCCCUAAUCCCCUAGCCUGGGAACUUCCAUAUGCUGCAGGUGCGGCCCUAAGUACCAAAAAAUAAAAAUAAAAAA